rnacentral:rRNA from 1 species
GACGAACGCUGGCGGCGUGCCUAAUACAUGCAAGUCGUGCGGACCUUUUAAAAGCUUGCUUUUAAAAGGUUAGCGGCGGACGGGUGAGUAACACGUGGGCAACCUGCCUGUAAGACUGGGAUAACGCCGGGAAACCGGGGCUAAUACCAGAUCGUUUUUUCCUCCGAAUGGAGGAAAAAGGAAAGGCGGCUUCGGCUGCCACUUACAGAUGGGCCCGCGGCGCAUUAGUUAGUUGGCGGGGUAACGGCCCACCAAGGCAACGAUGCUUAGCCGACCUGAGAGAGUCAUCGACCACAUUGGGACUGAGACACGUCCCAAACUCCUACGGGAGGCAGCAGUAGCGAAUCUUCCACAAUGGACGAAAGUCUAACGGAGCAACGCCGCGUGAGUGAAGAAGGCCUUCAGGUCGUAAAACUCUGUUUCCUGGGAAGAACAAGUGCCGUUCGAACAGGGCGGCGCCUUGACGGUACCCGGCCAGAAAGCCACGACUAACUACGUG